UCCGAAUACCUGGGUCGGACCUCCGCUGGUUUUUUUUUCCGCGGUGAUACUUCAAUGCGAAUGUGUAUCACCGGGUAAAAACUGGUAGAGGUCCGAUUCAGUAAA
rnacentral:pre_miRNA from 1 species